AUCUAGCUGACGAGUCCCAAAUAGGACGAAAUGUCCGUUCUAGAU
rfam:Schistosoma mansoni strain Puerto Rico chromosome 1, complete genome